AGUGAACGCUGGCGGUAGGCCUAACACAUGCAAGUCGAACGGCAGCACAGUAAGAGCUUGCUCUUACGGGUGGCGAGUGGCGGACGGGUGAGGAAUACAUCGGAAUCUACUUUUUCGGGGGGGAUAACGGAGGGAAACUUACGCUAAUACCGCAUACGACCUACGGGUGAAAGCAGGGGAUCUUCGGACCUUGCGCGAUUGAAUGAGCCGAUGUCGGAUUAGCUAGUUGGCGGGGUAAAGGCCCACCAAGGCGACGAUCCGUAGCUGGUCUGAGAGGAUGAUCAGCCACACUGGAACUGAGACACGGUCCAGACUCCUACGGGAGGCAGCAGUGGGGAAUCUUCGACAAUGGGCGCAAGCCUGAUCCAGCCAUACCGCGUGGGUGAAGAAGGCCUUCGGGUUGUAAAGCCCUUUUGUUGGGAAAGAACAGCAGCAGGUUAAUCCCCCGCUGUUCUGACGGUACCCAAACAAUAAGCACCGGCUAACUUCGUG
rnacentral:rRNA from 1 species